rnacentral:rRNA from 1 species
GGGGAAUCUUGCGUAAUGGGCGAAAGCCUGACGCAGCAACGCCGCGUGAGGGAAGACGGCCUUAGGGUUGUAAACCUCUUUCAGUAGGGACGAAGGUUCCAGGGUGAAUAGCCCUGUGGAUUGACGGUACCUACAGAAGAAGCCCCGGCUAACUACGUGCCAGCAGCCGCGGUAAUACGUAGGGGGCAAGCGUUGUCCGGAAUCAUUGGGCGUAAAGCGCGUGUAGGCGGCUUGGAAAGUCUGGUGUGAAAUCUUGGGGCUCAACCCCAAGCGGUCACUGGAUACUUCCAAGCUUGAGUCCGGAAGAGGAGAGUGGAAUUCCUGGUGUAGCGGUGGAAUGCGCAGAUAUCAGGAGGAACACCAAUGGCGAAGGCAGCUCUCUGGUACGUGACUGACGCUGAGACGCGAAAGCGUGGGUAGCAAAC